GUGGCUGUGUUCUGUGACGUUCUGAGGAUGUGUGUGAAAUUAGCAUAAACAAUAAGUUUUAUAUCGAGCCACCGUGACUGAACAGGAUGUCGCGGGUGAUGAGAUUCAGCAGAUGCAAUAAGUUCUUUGUGGUAAAUGAUGACAGUAAGAUUAUCUUCAUUUGAAAACAUUACAGAACCUAUUUACUUCCUCGAAGAGAACUCAGCUUCGGCACCUGAAGACCAGAACCACCUAAAUGUGAACCAGAAUCCAGGGUGGAUCCAGAUCCAAGUCCUUUAACACUGAUCUCAUACUGAGCUGCUGAUGGCAAGUCUGGUCCGGCCCAUCUCUCAGAAACAGUUCCCGAGUGUGAACAGGGUUCUGGAUGUGGUUCAGUGAGUCUCUGCCUAUUCUGACCCACUGACUUUCACUAGUUUGGGUUGAAACUGGGUUCUGAACAUGUUCUGAAUCGUGGACAACAUGUGUCUAUUUAAAUAUGUCCUGCAGAAUGUUCGCAGUCAUCAGACUGAACAGGAACAACAGGAACCAGAGGUACUGGUGGUUCUGUUUGUAGAACUGGUACCAGCGACAGAACACAGCAGCAGACAGACAAACGUUUGUUCAACUUUUUAUUAGAAACCCAACAAACUGCAGCCAAAACUCACAAACUUUUCUUCCUUUCAGUUGUUUUUCUACAGAACAUGUCGAUUUAUUCAUGAAGGUGCUUCAAAGAUCUCCGCAGGAUUUCUGUGGAUGUUUAAAUAAUAAAUACGAAUGCUUUUAAAAUAAAAAUAUGUUUUCAUGAAAUAAGGCUGAAGUUCUCCUGAGCUGAUUUUAUUUGUACAUUACAGCAGAUUUGUGGGUUUGGAUAAUAAAAAAUAAUGUUCCAUAAAAUUAUGUCAGAAAACACACAGAGCUUAAAUACUGCAACAUAAAUAUAAAGCAUUCAAACUAUAAAGAUAUGACUGAAGCUCCUACAUUUCCCAUAAUCCAACUGGUCUCAGUGGGAACACAGAUCUGUUAACCUUCAUGACAGGAAGUGGACAUUUUUCAACAUUAACAAAAAACAGAGAGACAGUCGACAGCAUCAGGAAGAUUCCUGAUAUCAACACAACAACGCUAAUAUAAAGGUGGCGUGUAGAUCAGUGCCUCAGCUGUUAGCAGAGGAGCAGCUUCAUGUGUUAGCGUUAGCAUAGCUUAGCUUCAGAAGGAAGGACACUUCACAUCUGUGGAGGACUGAACCUGAAACAAAUGACUCAUUAUAUAUAAAUUAAUAUAUUAAUUGCACAAAAAUGAUUCUCAAAAUAAAUGUAGGGAACAAAUCAAGUUACAGAAACACUAAAUGUAUUUUUGAGUCCUGCCACAGAACAAUGCAGUGAUCUGUUCUAAUAAUCAAUUAAUUGUUUGUGUCCAAUAAAAAUACUUCUAAUAGCUUAGUAACACUGAACAGAAACAACAAUAAUAAUCUAAUGAUUCAUUACAGAAACAACACAGCUGCAUGCUUCAUAUUUUCAUCAGACACAUUUCUACAACAAUUAAUAAUUAUUAGAACAAAAUGAUUUUCUGUGUAGUUUAAUAUUUGUUGAUGUUCACACUGAUGAAGUUUCACAAGUUUUACAUCUUCAGGCCUGAAAAAAAACUCUUUAGUGUUUAAUGAGGAUUUAUAAACAAAUUAAUUCAUUGUCAUCCCGACUGUAACAACCUCAUUAUGAACAAUUUAAUCCUUCAUUAGGAGCUUAAUAGAUAUAAACGAUAUUUUCACAAAAUGUAACAAAGUUAAAGAACUUAAAACCAAAGACACACAGAGGACUGACACAAA